rnacentral:misc_RNA from 1 species
UUUUAUUACAUCUAGAUAACCCACAAAUUACAGGCACAAAUCCAUUUUCAUCAGUAUUAUUACCAAUUUCCUCUGCAAUUAGUUUCACAGAUUCGAAAUCUGCUUCAGAUGAAGCUGGAAAUCCAGCUUCAAUUAUAUCAACACCGAGUUUCGCUAGCUGACGAGCGACGUCGAGUUUCUCUUUCGUAGUCAUUGUAGCACCUGGA